UACGUAGGUGGCAAGCGUUGUCCGGGUUUACUGGGCGUAAAGGAUGCGUAGGUGGAUAUUUAAGUGGGAUGUGAAAUACCCGAGCUCAACUUGGGUGCUGCAUUCCAAACUGGAUAUCUAGAGUGCAGGAGAGGUAAGUGGAAUUCCUAGUGUAGCGGUGAAAUGCGUAGAGAUUAGGAAGAACACCAGUGGCGAAGGCGACUUACUGGACUGUAACUGACACUGAGGCAUGAAAGCGUGGGGAGCAAACAGG
rnacentral:rRNA from 1 species